UACGAAGGGUGCAAACGUUGCUCGGAAUUACUGGGCGUAAAGCGCACGUAGGCGGAUUUGUAAGUCAGGGGUGAAAUCCCGGGGCUCAACCCCGGAACUGCCUUUGAUACUGCGAAUCUCGAGUCCGGAAGAGGUGAGUGGAAUUCCCGGUGUAGCAGUGAAAUGCGUAGAGAUCGGGAGGAACACCAGUGGCGAAGGCGGCUACCUGGACCAGCAUUGACACUCAAGCACGAAAGCGUGGGGAGCAAACAGG
rnacentral:rRNA from 1 species